GUCAGGGCGGGCCUGGGCCGGGUGGGGGCGGCGCCCUCGGCCCCACCCCGUCUCCCUGACCGC
rnacentral:pre_miRNA from 1 species